GACGAACGCUGGCGGCAUGCUUAACACAUGCAAGUCGAACGAAGUGGCGAACGGGUGAGUAAUCCGUGAGUAACUGCCCUCCAUUUUGGGAUACGCCUUGGAAACGGGGUCUAAUACCGACUAAAGGGGGAUGGGCUCGCGGCCUAUCAGCUUGUUGGUGGGGUGAUGGUCUACCAAGGCAGUGACGGGUAGCAUGCCUGAGAGGGGACCAGCUACAUUGGGCUGAGAGACGGCCCAAACGCAUACGGGAGGCAGUAGUGGGGAAUAUUGCACAAUGGGGGAGACCCUGAUGCAGCAACGCCGCGUGCGGGAUGACGGCCUGCUGGUUGUAAACCGCUUUCAGUCAUGACGCGGUAGUGGCAGAAGAAGCACCGGCUAACUACGUGCCAGCAGCCGCGGUAAUUC
rnacentral:rRNA from 1 species